AAAUGCUUGUACCCAACUCAGUACGGUACAGGGAUCCCGUCACUCUCUUUUUUCCUCCUCCUGAGAUAUCUUUGAGGACUUGAUUAUUCUUUUUACCGGGACCACGGGCAACGCUUCCCCGAGGACAAAUGGGACGAAUGGAGAGACGGCUACGGGUCAAUCUCUGUCUAGUUCAGGUCGCUCGAGUCAGAGGGGUAGGUGCUCAGCCAUAUUGUAUGCCCUAUACACAGUUAAUACUCAAAGACCUCAUAGACCUCAUAUCACUGCCACUGCGUAGGGCCCACCUCACUCUACUCUCGCCGCUCACGGUACAUUGUGACUCAUCAUGCUAUGUUACCUACCCAAGUAAAUUUGGAGGGAAGUCUUAUUACCCAAGUAAAUUUGGUACUCAACCAGAGGGUCUUGGCUUGUUCUUGAGGAACUAGUGCUAUAAAAACAGGGAUGAUGUCGUGAAGUAGCUCACUCGAUAAGUUCUUUGGGCGUGUUGUCAGCAGGACUGACAAAGGGAGCCAAAGAUGAGCAGUGACCAAAGAUGAGCAGUGAUCGAGCCUGAUCAUGAAGACACGAGCAAGCCGGAUUUGAAACGACCAGGCCCCACUGUGUUAAAGGAACACUCCGCAUUAUAUUUCGCGCUCGCAAAUAUUUUUGUGGUUGCUCCUAUCCACUAGCGAUCACUCAAAAGCUGGGAGGUACUCUAGCGUUAUCUUUUGAGUUAAUUACUCUAUGUCAAAGUACAUUGCUUGACUUGGCGACGGAUAAGCUAUACUGUUCAUAAACGUUUGCUCCUGUUUCAGUAUACUUUUAGACACACCACGGUUCAUAGUAAGAGCUAUUCUUUUUUUUAUAGCAUUUAUUUGUUUAGUGGCUGAGUGGCUUAGUCAAGCUAGAUUCUCUUUACUUUUUAGAAAAAUCAAAGUGAGCAGGUAAUGAGCCUGCUGACUAUAAAAAUAAUCCUUUGUAGCACCCUAUAACGCUGAGUGUUUCACGCAAACAUUUUUGUUUCCAAUCCCUCCUACUGUUGUCUGUAAGGAUUGGAAACGACCAGGCCCCCCUGUGUAAAAGGUCAGCGUUAUAUUUUGCGCUCUCAUAUAUUUUCGUGGUUGAUCGUUGUGGGUGGUUAUCGUUGUGGUUGAUCGUUCUGUGUCUGUUUCUAGCUCACUCAGAAGCUGGGAGAGUGACAAGCUCUGUCUUUACUCUGUUUCCAAUUUUUAUUGAGUUAAGCUAACUUUUCUCUUUCCCUGCUGUGGAGCAAAGUACAUUGGUUAUUAUGUAUCUAAGUGCUACAUAGAAUGGCUUGAUAAGCUUGCAGUAUAGUCCUUCAGUAUAGUCCUUCAAACUCACGACUUCAUGCUACUCUCCGGUCGAUGGGUCGAUGGUGUCCAGGGGAGAAGGAAAUUACAUGGACCCUCCAUACACUCGACACAGACACAGAGCUGCUCACCAAGUAGUUUUAUAGUAGUAGCUAAUAAUAAUGAUAUCAACGUACAUGUAUAUCAACGUACAUGUACGACUUUUGCAAUGAUGUGAAGUGUGUAGUAAAAAUGGAAGACAUCCCAGAUGCAUUAAUUGGGAACGAAAUUGUGAUAAAAGGCAAAUCACCGCUGUGUUUGGAUGCUCUUUAUCUGGAAGGUUUCUACCACUACAGCCAAGGUUCCGAAGAUUUAUUUUCCUGAAAAUUGGCACAUAACUUGCACAGCCUGAUUGAUUAUAUAACAAAGAUUAUAGUUCCUUAUGUGACUGAAACACGUUCUAAAUUGAACCUUGCGUCUGAUCAUCCGAUUCAAAGGGCAUUUGGUUGACAAUGUUCGUAGAGUAGAUUGUUAGAAGAAAAUUGAAAUUGUAUUUUGUAUGUGGUCAUUCCAGCUAACUGUACUGACAGGCUUCAACCACUUGAUUGAACCCUUUCCCGGCUUUGGACGACAUAUGUUUUGCACGCUGUAGGUACCAGCACAUGCGCAUUGAGCUGCUCUUUCACGUGAUAUUUUCAACAUCUUGCUUCGAGGUACGCUUCGUGCAGUACUGUCGAAAGAAAAGUGACCGUUUGAUGAUGACUUCAAGAUCUUCGUAGUACAACCUCAGUGGGGUUCUAGAGCUGCUAGACAGUGAUAAUAUAUCGAUGCUUAUGGCCUUGUAGAGUGAGAGGACAGUGACUGGGAUCGUAGCUAGGUAGGAAGCUACCUCAAGCUAAAAUAAGGAGCCUGAAGGAGCUGGACCAAGUUUCUGGAUCUGGUAAGCAUUUGUACAACUUCGUAUAAUAUUGUUUUGUACAUAAUUGUGAAUGUUUGUAAACAAUCGCUAAUUAGUUGGGGGUGGUCAGUUGCUAGGUAACGAUGAUGAUGUCAUGGUACCCCCGGGGUCUGGGCUACCUGUAGGAAAUAGUUACGAGUGAUUUCAAUGUAUGGUUCAUAAGAUAUGGAUUUUUAAAGAAAAACAUGUAUUUAUUCUGUAUAAAUUUCAGGAGUGGUGUGGUGAUAUCGUUUGCAAGCAACUAGAGAGUGGAACCGAGGAACCUGUUGAUUUAAGGUUAAGUGUGAUUGAACGGCAAUCGAUUCGAAUCUCAUCCUGAAAUCAUCAUCAAUUGCAUUUAGAAAUUCUGGACUUAUAAUAAUAAAAUAGUUUUAUGUUUAUAUCAUGUUCUGGGAUGGAAUGGUAUCAACAAUUUUACAGCAUAGGAAAUAAAUUGAUAGGCUAAUGGGCUAAUGCAUGAUACAAGAUGACUACUUUGAUCAAAUGAACUUUGAUCAAAUGAAACACAGGUGGGACUAGUACCAUUAGCAUAGCAAGAUGCGUUGCAAAAGCUAUGGCAAAAAGACCACAGUCCUUUCUGUUUGUGAACAUCAGCGUUCUUGAAACAAAGGCUAUUGUUUUUGAAAAUGUUGCUCAGAAUAUCUUUAUCGAGUGAAGAGAAUAUUGAAUCAAAAAUGUUAAUUUCACCUUUAGCACAUCCUAACGUGCUGACAGUAAUCCAGUGAUUACCACGGCAGUGGAGAAAUUGUUGCAUACCCAAUUAUCGUACACAGUAUGUCCAACUGGUGAAGGGAACUGUCUCUUUAACAAAUUCUGUGCUGUGAUAUAAUCGUCAUUUAAUAGAUCAUUUCCAAGGAUCUUCUGUUUGUCUGUUUGUCUUCCAUAUACAAAGUAAUAUUUUCGAGGUUUGUCCAAACAUCACUGCAUAGGGCUGGCCGUUUUGCAGGCAUAUCCACAUCAAUAUCACCUGUUGCAUCCUUCUUACUACUACCUGUACCACCUCAGCAAUGAGGGCUUUUACCUUAUUAAUAUUUUGACGCUGUCCAGAAAAAGUGAGCAUACACGGGCCCCCUUGGGGAAGAUCUGUAGAAUAUCUUCUGCUGUUAUUGUUGAGCCACUUCUUCUUAGAAAUAGAGAGCAUGCCCUACAACAACAGCAGUUCCUGCUCUUGCACUCCCCUACUAAUGCAUUCCAUGUUCCAUGUACCCUGAUAGACAUGGUAGCCUCAUCGAUGCUAUGGAGAAUGUAUCCAUGAUGAUAGAACUCAACUACGCGAGAUAAAUGCCAAUGCCACACCCUCUUAAUUUAACUUUCACACUUUCACGAAAUUUAAUACCGCGAAAUUUUCCAAAGAAGACAAAAUAAUAUUAAAUUGCACGAAAUUUUAAACCCUACUCACCAGUUGCAGCAGUUGCAGCAGUUGCAGCCAUAUCACCAUAUCACACUUUCUCAAACACCAAAGGAUUCCAAACACCAAAGAACCUCAAACCAAAGAACCUGGUGAUAGUAGUUGCCGCAAAACCCAGCUGUUCAUGAACAUGCUGCUCAAAUACAAAUAGUGUUUCCUGAGACACUCCUCCCACUCCUCCCACAGACCACAGAAAUACAGGUAACCAUGGUUAAAAGUAUGGCAUAAAACCAGGAGCCCAUAAAUAAGAGAAGGAGCGGCUGACCACGUUUGGCAUUUCCAUAUAAAAGUAGUUGAAUCCCUACACGUGUUAUGCACAAUACAGGUUUGCAAGCACUUAGUCGCUUCCAAACAAGGAAGUGCGGUUUCACCGGCAAUUACGAGACGUGUAUACGUUGAAGUUAGCACCCAUUUUUUUAAUAUUUCAUUGCAAACACUACCAUACAAACACUACCAUACAUGUAGGUUAUCGCUAGGGAAAUCGACCAAACCCUAUCCAAGUCUCUUCUUGAAAACAGGUGCUACCUUGCAAGAAAAGUACGUUCCUUUUAUUUGUAUGCUUAUUGCCAUUGUUACCAAAAGAUAUACUAAAUCCUCCCCAAAGCUCUCAAGAGUACUACCAGGCCUCCUUCCAGAUCAUCCCCAUCUAAUCCGAUACAUCAUAAAGUCAUCUAGUGCUGUGAGGAGUUAAUUCUUAAUUCCCGAAAUGCGUUAAAAAUCCGAAGGUGCUGCCCAGUGUACACGAGGCCUUUAUUCCGGCCGUGUUCGCCUGCUAAUCAAACUAAUUCACUUAGACAUGUGACAUCCGCCUAGUGUAAUUAUCUCUAGCUAUUAUAACAGAGAGUUCCAUAAUUCAGUUGCAGAAUUGACAAGAAGCACUCAGUCAUCUAGUUGAUCAAAAUUAGGCUUACAAGUCUGAUUUUUUUACAAGACUGAUGAUCCCACAGACUGAUGAUCCCACUGAUCGGAAGAGUUACAUUCUAAGGCUAAGGAGUGGAUUGAACUAUUUCUGAGGCUUCCAACACAAAAAACGUCACUCCUUAUAUGCACACUACUCACUUUGUAAAAUUGUAUGGGAAUGUCAAGCAGUUCAGUGGACAAUGUGUUGAAAAAAAUAAUGAUGACGCUCGCCGUAACUACUUUUCGAGUAAUUUCCAUGACCUGAUCGGGGAAAUUCUGAACUUACAUCAGGUCCAUCAUCGAAGCGACCAAGACUAGAAUAGCUACACCUACACACCUACACUAAAUGUGUAUGUUUGUUGGUUUGAUGGUCCCUACCUUGACAUUUCAUCACUAUUAUACUCAUUAUGUUUAUACUCAUUCUGAGUCUUUAUCUUUUGUACCUCUGCAAUGCAUUUCAUCACCACUAGUAAUCCUGCUAGACUUUGGAUGCUAAAUUUAAUCACGUAAUUAAUUUUUUUGUAAUAAUAAUUAUUGCCCAUAAAUUAUUGUUUAAUCAAUGCUAUUUUACCUGAAAAGUGAUAGGUAUGAGACGUACUAUACAUGUAUACCAAAGAUUUGAUAUAUUGGAAAAAAUCUGAAGAUAUUUAAUUUAUGGUUUUGGGUGUAGUAGUGUAACCAAAUACAAGGUGCUACAGGCACAUGAAAUUCUAGAAUCCUCACAUGAUAUGCAUAUAACACAUGGUCACAAAAAGUAAGUUACUGUGCUAUACAAGGAGAGUAAAAUAUUACCAUAAUUGUCCCAUAGACUGUAUGGCCAUGGGUAUCAACACAAGCUGUGUCAAAUUUAAUGCUGGGUACAUGCAGCACCCACCAAUUACAAUGGAGGCCACACCCCCUCUGCUGCCCCCACCCCUCACCCUACCGUACGUUAAGCAAGAGAACAGGAACUUAGCAAAAAUAAUCACGACAGCUCAGAUCGCUGUCAAGCAAGAGAACAGAAACUUAGCUCAGAUCGCUCAGUCUGAGCCAAAAAUCCCCCAUCAAAUUUUUCCGUUAUAUGGUAUGUAUUAUGUGCUAUGUUAAUCUUCUGUGUGUCAACUCAAGCAUUGUCCAUAUUGUUGUAACAUUGUGUACCACGUAUGAUUAUUUUAUCUCAACUCCAGGCGGUGUGUUGCUGUACUAGAGCUAGAACUUAACAUUGUUUUUUACUCACUCAAUUACUUUUACAUAAUGUAGGAUAACUGUUCUCUAUUUUAUUUGCUAAACCACACCCAAAACGUCAUAUCCGGCCGUAAUAUACGUAUAAAAUUACAUUGAAAACCUUAAGCCAGCACCAGAUCACGACAUAAUUACAUGUAAGCGACAGGAUAAAUCGUUUCAAUUUUUAUAUGCUUGGCUGACCACUUGUGCUUUGCUUAUAACAGUCAGUUGGAACACAUAGCAUUUGUGGUUGGCAAAAAAUACGUUUUAAUUAUUCAUAACUCUAAUUGUGUCAGACACAAUUUUGAUGUUCUUUAUCAGGGAAAAACACAGCAGCUUAGUCCUUUAAAUCUAAGCUGCUUUUGUCCCUAUAAUAUAGGGCAGCUUAGAUUUUCAUUACAGCCUUACCAAGGGCCUCCAAGUGAGAGCAGGAUAGGAGCUAGGCCUGCUAUAUCCUGAGCUUGAGCUGUACUGUAUGUUCAGCCUUCUUUGUGUGUACGUGUUUACUUGUACUCGUAGAUCUAUGGUUUACUCCAGUUGAUUUUACUCCAGAGAUCACUCACAUGAUUUUUAGUGACUUGUUUGGGACCCUCCUCUGGAUCUACCUAUGCUUAAUUUUUAUCCCAACUUUGCUAGCUUCAGGCAAAUUAUGUGGGCACUUCCAUGAAAUUUUAUUGACAGUUUUCAGUACAGUACGUCAUAAGCAUCAUGAUUCCAUCGGAAAAUGGUAAAUAAACGGUAAAGCUAGUAUAAAAAUAGAAAAAAAUAAGAUUGACCUCAUUUACUAUGGAAAGACCUGUGCGUAUACUGAGUCCAGACAUUGUCGUUGGGCAAAAUCCAGAAUGAUGGAGACAAGAGAAUAAACCUAAACCUCAAGAUAAAACUAACAUUGAUGUAUUAUUAUCAUGGUCAGUAUGUGCUCAGUGUAUAUUCUAUGUGUGUACCCAUGCGUGCCCCUUGUGUUGUGUGCCCAUGUGUGUGCGUAUGUGUGCGUGUGUGUGUGAUAUGCGUGUGUGUGUGAGUGUGUGUG